UUCAGGUGGCGAUACUAAGUGAAAUGAAGAAUUCCGAGAGAGCAUCAGACAAGUUGCUGAUGGUGUACUAUCCAUUUCUAGGAUUCGCUGUUUUAGCAAUUUUACGUGGUCUACUACCUCAUUCUGGCAAGAGUGCGAGCAUUGGAAAAAGAUCCGUUAUAGGCAGGAAGAAGAAGGCUUAAUCUUUCAACUCAGAAGCUUAGAAUUGAAGAGUUUGUAUUUCUUUAGGCAGUGAUACCUACAAACCAUAUCAAUUUUUGUUAUUGGUUCUUUUUAGUUGACAUUAUAUUUUGAUGGCUUGUGCACGAGUUUUCACGUAAACAAUCACAAAAUGAGUUUUAGUUUCACAAGUGCUGAUGACAUUGUUAGUUUUAAAUCUUGAUAUAAUUUCCUUCUCGUUCGCAACGAUCUGCUGUUGCAUCUUCAAAGAUCAAUUUUCUUGCUAGAAAGUCUAGCAAAGUACUAUAUACCAGAAAUAGGAACUCCAUUUGAGUUGUCUAAAAGACUAUUACAAUGUAUUUCGAUUGGAUUAACUAGUUUCUCAACAGUUGAUUUUGCGUGCUUCAGUAGCUGACACUUGACAGAAACAAAAAAAAUUAUAUUUGACGGCAUUACUUGGCGGAAAAUUUGAACUAAUGGAAAUUAUUCAGGAAAAUAUAUGGGAUAGGAUUGCUAAUUGCAUUCGAGAUGUAGCUGGAGUUGAGGUGAUGGGUCUCGACAGGUAAAAGAAAGUCAUUUUUCUUAAAUUGGAAGGAAAAUAAAUUUAUUAUAAAAAUUGUUGGAAUAUUAACACCCAGAUUUGCCUAAGAAAUAGAUAUAUUCCAUCUGUUCCUUUAUAGAUUAGAGCAACUAUGUUACCUACUUACGUUAUGUAAAACAAAUAAAGUAAUGACACAAUAUUUUAUUGUGGAAAAUUUUAAAAAAGAACUGCUUCUGGAUCUACUCAUUAUUGACUAGUGAGCGAGAUUUCAAAGGGAAACAUUAUUUGCAUAAUUAGCAUUACUGUUGAGUGGCAGUUGCAAAGAGACGAAGACGAAAAUGGGUGGUUUUGUUAAGCUAUUGGACUUGCUUCUUUUCAUCUACUUCUUCUUCAUGGCCAUUGUUGCACCACUCUUUGAUGGUCAAACUGCCCUUCCUAAACACAUAUUUCACCCUGUGUUGGUUGACCUAAAGAGCUGGUACACUCAAGAAUGUGGUGAUUAUUUGGUUUCUGAGAAACCCCAUUUCUUUGUUGGGUUAAUCUGGUUGGAGCUUCUCUUUGCUUGGCCCAUCUGCCUCCUUAGUCUUUAUGCCAUUGCAGCUGGAAAAUCUUGGAUUAAAACUACCUCCUUGCUAUAUGGUGUUUCCACUCUCACUUCAAUGGUAAGAAAUUUGCUUAUUGUUUAUAUUUGGGGCUGAUUGCAAUCUGUCUUGUUUGUCUCUGGACUCUGUUAAUUUAAGAUUAAUAGAUUGUUGUGCUAGCUUCAAAUUGUCUUGUUUUUGUGGUUGAUGUUUCAUAUAUCAGUGGAAUUGGAUUUAAAUUAGAUUGAAUUUGAUAACAUUAUGGGAUGAAGCAGAUGCAUUCUGGGUGAAUUUUUGCUUUGCUUGCUCUUUCCCCCUCAUAAGAUCGGAUUCAUCAGAUAGCUCUAGUAUAUUCGAAUAUAAGUUGUAUUGACAUUACCCCUAAGAUGAAAGAUUGUAACUUUUGGACCUUUUAUGGUUAAUGGAAAUAAUUUGAGAAAUUAAUGUGAAUGAUAGUAUGCUGAGGUUGGGAGUAGCGGGAGUUACGAGAGAUAGAAGUAGGCCGAAGAAGAACUGGGGGAGGUGAUUAAACCUGACAUGAGACAGCUUUAGCUUAACGACAAUAUGAUCCUAGAAAGGAAGGUAUGAAGGUCGAAGAUGAGAGUAUAAGGUUAUAAGUUAGAGAGUGUGGUCUCACUUUAUGUGGGAUGGGCAGGGAGCUAGCCUCCUAUCCUUAUUAGUAGUUUUUUUAGUCUCUUAUUCUUCCAUGUGUAUUAGUAUAUGUUGCUUCACUUGCUUUGCUUUCUUGUUUUCAUACUUGCUUACAAUCUUGCUUCGAAAACUUCCCUUUUGAGCCAAGGGUAUGUUGGAAACAACCUCUAAAGUCUAAACCCACAAAGAUAGGGGUAAGGUCUGCGUACAUCCACACUCUCCAAACUCCACUUGUGGGACUACACUUGGUAUAUAUGUUGUUGUUGAUGUAUGCUUGGAAGUUGGAACUCUAUUUUCACCUUAUCAAGAAAAGUUGGAACUCUAUUUUACCACUAGAGUUUCCAUUUCGAUUUGCAAUGUCAAGUUCUUUAUCUGGUUUCUUCUCUCCAGCUUGGCAUCAUGCCACCUUGUUUCUUUUACUAUGAUUAUCUUUACGCAGUGGCGAAUUUACAGCCAAAAAAUAGAGUACCCGCACCCGUGGUCUCUUCGUAAAAUUAGAUAUUUUAUAUGUAUAUUUUUUAAGAUUUUGUAUAAUAUUAUAUUCUUGCACCCGUACUACAAGAAGUCUAAAUGGUCCACAUGGUUAAAUGUUGAGCUUUUGACCUUGAGGAUUAAAGGAUCAAUUCUCACUUCAAUACAUUUUACUUGGUGCACCCAUUUUCGAAAAAUCCUAGAUUCGCCUCUGUCUUUACGUUUUUUACCUUAAGUACUUAACUUGCUUUUGAGAUAAGAGUCAAGUGGAAUUGCAUCUGCUUAUGGUUUACUUUUCUAAUCAAUGUUGCUAAUCUCAGGUGGCAAUACUAAGUGAAAUGAAGGGUUCCGAGAAAGCAUCAGACAAGUUGCUGAUGGUGUACUAUCCAUUUCUAGGAUUUGCUGUUUUAGCGAUUUUACGUGGUCUACUACCUCAUUCUAGCAAGAGUGUUAGCAUUGGAAAAGGAUCCACGAUAAGCAGAAAGAAGAGGGCUUAAUCUUUCAACGAAUUGAAGAGUUUGUAUUUCUUUUGGCAUUGAUCUUUCAAUUUCGACUCCAGAAACCAUAUCAAUUU
rnacentral:lncRNA from 1 species